rnacentral:lncRNA from 1 species
UUAAAUAUAGUACAUACAAGGCUCUAUCUAACAGUAGGUACUGGAUGAGCACUAGUGACUGUGUGGUUUGAUUGUACCAUUCUAAACAUAUCAACUCUGGUCUUUAUCCUUUUUACCUUGUAGGUGGUCGCUGACCUGGCAGGUUAUCAUCCACUUCCCAGGAUUCUCGGCUAUCAUUUCUGUGGUGCCAGGACACAGAUUCUCCAACACACAUAUCAGGCUCCGGGAAGUUUCCGAAGAGGUAUCCAUUGAGGGCUGGAAACAGAAACACGCUAGUGGAAGAGACUCCCCUGCAGAGGCGACUGGGACCAGAAAUGUUGAGAAAACACUCAAUAAAAGUGAAGAUCAGCAUACACUGAGAACAGCCUCGGAGCUGCUGUGGGAACGCAAUAUGAGGUCAGGAGAAAACAGAGUGCUGCUCAUAUUUACAGGAGGCUCAGUCACCUUCUGUCAUAAUCCUUCACUGGCAUAUCUGCUGUCUUCACCAGAUUCUGUGCUCCUUGGAACUAGAAACCCUGUCUUGUUCAUCUUAACAGUUAUCAGGACCUAGCAGAAAAACUGGCACAUAGUAUCUACUUAAUGAAGUGACAAAAGCAUGUAGUAAGAUGGAAAGAAAAGGAAUUGAUUAAAAGGAAUUUAUGAGAACUGUUUUGUUUGUUUGUUUGUUUACUUUAAAAAGCCAAGAGAAAAACAGUUUUUACUACAUGUUGCUGGAGCAGAAUCUUAUUAAGUUUAUGGCGUAAAUCCAGGACCGAAUACUUUAAAACCAUCUAAAUGGCAGCUGGGAGUUGACCAAGUUCAGAAAAGAACU